GAUGAACGCUGGCGGCGUGCCUAAUACAUGCAAGUCGAACGAGGCCCUCUUCCUUCGGGAGGAGGUGUCCUAGUGGCGAACGGGUGAGUAUCACGUUGGUGACCUACCCCGAAGAGGGGGACAACCCCGGGAAACUGGGGCUAAUACCCCAUGUGAUCCUAAGGACUAGAUGCCUAAGGAUGAAAUGGAGCAAUUCGCUUCGGGAGGGGCCUGCGGCCUAUCAGCUAGUUGGUGAGGUAAUGGCUCACCAAGGCGACGACGGGUAGGGGACCUGAGAGGGUGACCCCCCACACUGGAACUGAAACACGGACCAGACACCUACGGGUGGCAGCAGUAGGGAAUAUUGCACAAUAGGCGAAAGCCUGAUGCAGCAACGCCGCGUGCGCGAUGAAGGCCUUAGGGUUGUAAAGCGUCUUUUCUGGGGGACGAGAAAGGACGGUACCCCAGGAAUAAGUCUCGGCUAACUACGUG
rnacentral:rRNA from 1 species